rnacentral:lncRNA from 1 species
AUGAGGAACAUUUUCAAGAGGAACCAAGAGCCUAUUGUGGCUCCUGCCACCACCACCGUCACGAUGCCCAUUGGACCCGUGGACAACUCCACCGAGAGUGGGAGUGCUGGGGAGAGCCAGGAGGACAUGUUUGCCAAACUGAAGGAGAAGUUCUUCAAUGAGAUUAACAAGAUUCCCUGUGAGUGUCCCUGGUGGCUGAGA